AUACUUUUGUGGUUCAUAAGUGUGAUGAUUAGGUUUUCAUGCUAAUGUGUGAGCUGUACCUCCCUCAAAGCUUGUUAGGACAUCAGCACCUUAGCUGUCUGUCA